rnacentral:lncRNA from 1 species
GCCUAGUUGGGUAGAGUAGGCUCUGGCGUCAGCAGGCAGCACUCUGUCAAGGCAUCCCUUGUGCUUCUCCUCAACUCUUCCUUCCCAGAUGCCAGCGGGCAGCAGCCUCUUCUGCCACUGUUGCUGCUGUUGGAUGCACCUCAUCUUAGCUCCAUGGCAAUGGAGCCAUGUGACCAAAUUAAGACUGGAGCCAUGAUCAACCAAUUACUCUUCAAUAGUUUAUUGCAAUGACUUUGCCACAGUGAUGAAAAGUGUAACAGGGCUGUGUGGAGCAUACCUUAACCUCUAACCCAACCCUUGGGAGGCAGAGGCAGGAUGGUCUACAGAAGUUACACAGAGAAACCCACCCUGUCUUGAAAAAACCAGAAAGAAGGAAGGGCUGGUGAGAUGGCUUUGCAGUUAAGAGACCCGACUGCUCUUCUGGAGGUCAUGAGUUCAAAGCCCAGCAACCAUGUGGUGGCUCACAAUCACCUUUAAUGAGAAACAAACAAACACCUUGGCUGGAGCAAGCGUGAGAAGGGAAGGGGGAAAAAAGAAAGAAAAACCAGAAAGAAAAAAGACGGAAAAUUAUAGCAUGUGUUAUUGUUUGAAUAUGUUCCCAUUAGUGAGAUUUUUCUAUAAUUUAAAAAUGUAAAGAUUUAGUGACUUGGCAGGUUUCAUGGCUUUGCCAGUGACCCCAGGCUUCUCCUGUCUCUUUCCUUCCCUGCUGUGGGAUUAUAGGCAACAGUGCUCUGCCUAGCUCUUUAUGGUUCUCAGGCCCAGAGACAGGUCUUGAUGCUAGUGCUGUCUGCAUUACAGACUGAUGGGUCUCCCUAGCCCCAGACUUGCUCUUUUGAUUUAGGGAUCAGUCAUUGCUCAGGUGCCAAGUGUUUGAAGAUUUCCUCUUGCCUUUCUGUUACUGAUUUCUAGUUGUCUCUCUGUGGCUGUAGCGCAUACUUGAUAUGCUUUUGGAGUUCUUUGAAGCUUCUUAAGAUUUGUUCUCUCAUGUGGGUUAUGGUUUAUCGUGGCAAGCUUGUGUGUGGCCACUCAGGAGAAGAAUGGUCCAUAAAUGUUGACUAGCUCCUUAGUGUGUAGUAGUGAGUUCUGUAGCCUUGGGAUUUGCUAUAGUUGUUCUCCAAGUUGCUGAUGGUAUAGUAUUAAGAUUUUGACUAUAGUGAAUUUUUUUUACUUUUUUUUUUUUCCUGUUUGUAGUUACGUUUUGGAUGCAUAGACAUUUACUAUUUUUUUUUUCUGGUGAAUUAGUCCUUAUUAUGACCUCUUCCCCCAUUCCCCCCUCCCGAUAAUCUUUGCUCUAAAUUCUACUUAUAUCUGAUAUAAUAUAUAAAAAGUAAUUUUCUUUAAUUUUAAUUAAUUUAAAUUUAGGCACAUGUGGCUGAUGGCUGUCAUUACUGGAAGGUGAAGGGAGCUAUGACCCAAAUGUAAUUGAAAGGUAAAUUUUAUAGUAUGUUAAGAGAUGCUAAGGACAAACAGUGAUUAGCCUGAAAGUGGAGAUUGGGGCAGAGGGAGUGGGACUUGACUUUGAUUUGGGUAGUCAGGGAAGCAGUUCUUGAAUACGACACUUGAAAAGAGGACAACAUUUUAGAGUGAGAAUUAUCCGUGCCAGACCCUGAUCCAGUCAGAUUUGAGUUUAGACUAGAUGAUAGGGACUCUGGUGCAGUGGAAACAAGUUAGGGGUAGGAAGGUAGGUGUGUGAUUCAUGGUCAUCAGGCCAAGUAGUUAAGGUAGGUUUGGGGAGAAAAUGUAAAGAUGUUUUCAGAAAUUUUUAAUAAAUUAUUAAUUUUAGAGAUGUUAAAUUGGAGAUAUUUAUUAGAUGUAUCUAAAUAGAGAAAGCAAGCAGACUGUGAUCUUCUCCAGAUCCAUGAGUCUCUGCCCUGUGGAGCAUAUGAGUAGGAGACACAUAACUAAAUAUGUAUGAAUAACAUACUAGAAGGUAACAAACACAAAGAGAAUCCAGGCAGGACAUGACGUGUGUUUUUUGAGGAGCGUGAGGAUCCAGCUCAGUUAGCAGAGCUUGCCUAGCAGACAUGAAGCCUGGGCUUGAUCCCAGCACCACACAAAGCUGGAGGUGGAUGAGAGGGCUUGGAAGUUCAGAGUCAUUCUUGGAUACCUAGGGAGUUCAAGGUCAAUUGGGCUGCAUGAGACCCUGUCUAUGGG